rnacentral:rRNA from 10 species
GUCUACAGGAGUACUGCCCUGAAUGCACCCAAUCUCAUCUGAUCUCAGAAACUAACAGGGUCAGGCCUGGUUAGUAUUCCAAUGGCAAGAGUCAUGUUCAUU